UCUGACUGAAAUGUGCAGGAGUUGGAGAGGGGCAGAGUUGAUCUUGACCAGGAGGCGGCAGAGGACGGAGACGGGGCAAGAGGCGGCAAAGGGCGGAGCCGGCGACAGGAGGAUGUGAUGAGAGGCUGAGGUGAGAAAUAGGAAGAGGGAGAAGUACAGACCAGGCUUGUAGGCGCUCUCACCUAUCCGGGGAGAAGAUGAAUGAGGUUUAUGCAAAAAGGAGGAGGCUCCUCUGUCGGAUUUAAUGUGAACUCGGGUCCAGUUUAUUCAGGUCAACUAUGCCUAUCUCAGUGGAAGAUGGCAGGUUCACUUCAAGCUCCGCAUGUGCUCCUGGUUCUACAGUCUUGCUUGAGGAUACUUCGGGUGUUGAUGUUAUGCUUGUGCUCAAAAAACCCACAGGAUGGUGACCCGAUCCAAGGACAGAACUCUACCUCCUCAUCGAUUUAGUAUUUCUCGUCACCCUAUGGCUUUCUUUGUAUUUGCUGCUUUGUCGAAACCACAACGUUUGCUCAGGCUCGCAAGCACCACCAUUGGCGAGCAGCGAUGUAGGAGGAAUAUCUGGCCUUACUUCAUAGUAAUAAUACUUGGGAUCUUGUUUUGCCAUCUCCAGCCCAAAAUGUAGUUGACUGCAAGUAGGUCUACCGUAUUAAGCAGAAAGCCGAUGGUAGCAUUGAUCGAUACAAGACUCGCUUAGUGGCAAAGGGCUUUAAUCAGCGGGAAGGGGUAGAUUAUUCAAAGACAUACAGUCAAGUCAUCAAGUCGGUCAUCAUUCAGACAGUUAUGUCUAUUGUUGUCUCCUCUCAAUGGCUUAUUCGACAGCUGAAUGUGAAGAAUGUCUUCCUGCAUGGACACCCCACUGAAGAUGUUUAUAUGACAUAGCCUCAUGGUUUCCUGAUCCCUCUCGCAUUGAUAAUGUAUGCAAACUACAUCGUUCUUUAUACGGGCUCAAGCAAGCCCCUAGGACAUGGUUUCAGCGACUCAGUACCUAU